GUGGGAAGCUGCGGAAGGGUAUGGUGUGUGCCUCGCGCCUAAACGCGGCAGCCGCCCCUCCCGAUUCUUGCAGUUUCGCCUAUCGGAGUGGGAAGUGUGGGGACUUGGGGCGUUGCCUAGUGUUGGUUGGGGAUACAGUACAAGCCUUGGAUCCCAAAGCUGCUUGGGUGGAUUUUACCAAACUGUAGCAUACUCAGUGCUUAGGGCUGCGUUGACUGCUCUGCUCCCAGACCCUGCAAAAUUCUCCAUUAGCGCCCUUCGGUUGCAUCCUCUACCCUCCCCAGCCAUCCGACCUUGGGACUAGGGAAACGUGGACUUGGUGGACUAUUCUGCGCUGAAGAGGCAGCAACGAGGGCUCGGUGGUGUUGGUGUUGGUCCUAGUGGAAUUGUCAAGAGGAUGCUUUUGGAGACCUGAUGCCUGGAGGUACAGCAGCCAUCUUGUGACCAUAAGGAGAAAACCAACGCAUUAAGAAGGGAAAAGCUAAGAAGAUACAGAGGGCAAGGACCACUGACAACAUGAUCAAGCCACUCUACCAGGCCUUAACUUCCUAUUCCCUGACUUCUUAUUGAAAGAGACAAUAAAACUUCUCAUUUGUUUUAA